rnacentral:rRNA from 1 species
UACAGAGGGUGCUAGCGUUGUUCGGAAUCAUUGGGCGUAAAGGGCGUGUAGGCGGUUUGUUAAGUCAUGUGUGAAAUCCCUCGGCUCAACCGGGGAACGACGCAUGAAACUGGCAAGCUAGAGUACCAAAGAGGGGGGUGGAAUUCCCGGUGUAGCGGUGAAAUGCGCAGAUAUCGGGAAGAACACCUAUGGCGAAGGCAGCUCUCUGGGACGGUACUGACGCUGAGGUGCGAAGGCGUGGGGAGCAAACAGG